rnacentral:rRNA from 1 species
AGGGCAAGUCUGGUGCCAGCAGCCGCGGUAAUUCCAGCUCCAAUAGCGUAUAUUAAAGUUGUUGCAGUUAAAAAGCUCGUAGUUGAAUUUCGGGGUUCUACCGUUGGUCGGGCUAUUGUCUGUACUGGCGUGUAGAAUUUCUACCUUCUGGAGAACUAUCAUGUUAUUAAUUUAGCGUGGUAGGAAACCAGGACCUUUACCUUGAAAAAAUUAGAGUGUUCAAAGCAGGCUUAUGUCUGAAUACAUUAGCAUGGAAUAAUAAAAUAGGACGGUGGUCCUGUCUUGUUGGUUUCUGAAUCACCGUAAUGAUUAAUAGGGAUAGUUGGGGGCAUUAGUAUUCAAUUGUCAGAGGUGAAAUUCUUGGAUUUAUUGAAGACUAACUACUGCGAAAGCAUUUGCCAAGGAUGUUUUCAUUAAUCAAGAACGAAAGUUAGGGGAUCGAAGACGAUCAGAUACCGUCGUAGUCUUAACCAUAAACUAUGCCGACUAGGGAUCGGACGAUGUUAACUUUUCUUGACUCGUUCGGCGCCUUACGGGAA